rnacentral:rRNA from 1 species
ACGAACGCUGGCGGCGUGCUUAACACAUGCAAGUCGAACGAUGAAGCCCAGCUUGCUGGGUGGAUUAGUGGCGAACGGGUGAGUAACACGUGAGCAACGUGCCCAUAACUCUGGGAUAACCUCCGGAAACGGUGGCUAAUACUGGAUAUCUAACAUGAUCGCAUGGUCUGUGUUUGGAAAGAUUUUUUGGUUAUGGAUCGGCUCACGGCCUAUCAGCUUGUUGGUGAGGUAAUGGCUCACCAAGGCGACGACGGGUAGCCGGCCUGAGAGGGUGACCGGCCACACUGGGACUGAGACACGGCCCAGACUCCUACGGGAGGCAGCAGUGGGGAAUAUUGCACAAUGGGCGAAAGCCUGAUGCAGCAACGCCGCGUGAGGGAUGACGGCCUUCGGGUUGUAAACCUCUUUUAGUAGGGAAGAAGCGAAAGUGACGGUACCUGCAGAAAAAGCACCGGCUAACUACGUGCCAGCAGCCGCGGUAAUACGUAGGGUGCAAGCGUUGUCCGGAAUUAUUGGGCGUAAAGAGCUCGUAGGCGGUUUGUCGCGUCUGCUGUGAAAUCCCGAGGCUCAACCUCGGGUCUGCAGUGGGUACGGGCAGACUAGAGUGCGGUAGGGGAGAUUGGAAUUCCUGGUGUAGCGGUGGAAUGCGCAGAUAUCAGGAGGAACACCGAUGGCGAAGGCAGAUCUCUGGGCCGUUACUGACGCUGAGGAGCGAAAGCAUGGGGAGCGAACAGGAUUAGAUACCCUGGUAGUCCAUGCCGUAAACGUUGGGCGCUAGAUG